rnacentral:rRNA from 1 species
AUUGAACGCUGGCGGCAGGCUUAACACAUGCAAGUCGAACGAGUGGCGGACGGGUGAGUAUUGCGUGGGAAUCUUGCUUAUGGAUGGGGAUAACUACGGGGAACCUUAGCCAAUUCCGCCUACCGUAGGGUGAGGGCAAGUGGGAUUAGGUAGUUGGUGGGGGAAAGGCUCACCAAGACGACGAUCUCUAGCUGGUCUGAGAGGAGGACCGGCCACACUGGGACUGAGACACGGCCCAGACUCCUACGGGAGGCAGCAGUGGGGAAUAUUCCGCAAUGGGGGAAACCUGACACAGCCAUGCCGCGUGAAUGAAGAAGGCCUUCGGGUUGUAAAGUUCUGUCGGUAGCGAGGCGGUAACUACAGAAGAAGCACAGGCUAACUCCGUGCCAGCAGCCGGGGUAAUAC